rnacentral:rRNA from 1 species
AAAAUAACCAUGAUUCCCCUAGUAACGGCGAGUGAAGAGGGAAAAGCUCAAAGUUGGAACCUGGCUGUCCUAGAUAGUCCGGAUUGUAAACUAAAGAGCGUGAAUCCAGGCAAGCCGGUUGACAAAGUCCUUUGGAAUGAGGCGCCACUGAGGGUGAGAGCCCCGUAAGUCGACUGAGCAUUUGUCUUUUGUGUUUCGCGUUCAAAGAGUCAGGUUGUUUGGGAAUGCAGCCUAAAGCUGGUGGUAAAUCCCACCUAAAGCUAAAUACAGGCGAGAGACCGAUAGCGAACAAGUACCGUGAGGGAAAGAUGAAAAGUACUUUGAAAAGAGAGUUAAACAGUAUGUGAAAUUGCCAAGAGGGAAGCAUUUGGAGUUAGACUGACUUGAAGUCAAUCAACUUGGUCUUUGGACUGGGUGUACUUGGCUUUUAUGUCUGCCAACAGCAGUUAGUUCUGGUGGAAAAAACUAGAGGGAAGGUAGUCCUUCGGGAUGUUUAUAGACCUUUAGAAAAUACACUGGAAUUGACUGAGGAAUGCAGUAGAUGCUAUUAGGCUUCGUCUUGUGGGUGUUGGGUAAAGGUACUAGGUGUUUUCAGCUUGCUGAUGCGCUUGGUGCCCGAGUCCAUCCACUCACAAGUACUGUAAUCUACUUUGGUUGUUGGCUUAAUGACUCUAAAUGGC